ACAGGGAUUGCCCUAGUAACGGCGAGUGAAGCGGCAACAGCUCAAAUUUGAAAUCUGGCCUCGGCCCGAGUUGUAAUUUGCAGAGGAUGCUUCUGGCGCGGUGCCUUCCGAGUUCCCUGGAACGGGACGCCAAAGAGGGUGAGAGCCCCGUAUGGUCGGACACCAAGCCUGUGUGAAGCUCCUUCGACGAGUCGAGUAGUUUGGGAAUGCUGCUCUAAAUGGGAGGUAAAUCUCUUCUAAAGCUAAAUACCGGCCAGAGACCGAUAGCGCACAAGUAGAGUGAUCGAAAGAUGAAAAGCACCUUGAAAAGGGGGUUAAAUAGUACGUGAAAUUGUUGAAAGGGAAGCACUUGUGACCAGACUUGGGCCGGGCGGCUCAUCAGGGGUUCUCCCCUGUGCACUCCGCCCGGCACAGGCCAGCAUCGGUUCUCGUGGGGGGAUAAGACCGUCGGGAACGUAGCACCCUCCGGGGUGUGUUAUAGCCCGGCGGACGAUACCCCCGUGGGGACCGAGGUUCGCGCUCCGCAAGGAUGCUGGCGUAAUGGUCACCAGUGACCCGUCUUGAAACACGGACCAAGGAGUCGUCCAUUAGAGCGAGCGUUUGGGUGUAAAACCCGCACGCGUAAUGAAAGUGAACGCAGGUGAGAGCUUCGGCGCAUCAUCGACCGAUCCUGAUGUUCUCGGAAGGAUUUGAGUAAGAGUUUUAACGGACGGACCCGAAAGACAGUGAACUAUGCUUGUAUAGGGUGAAGCCAGAGGAAACUCUGGUGGAGGCUCGCAGCGGUUCUGACGUGCAAAUCGAUCGUCAAAUAUGAGCAUGGGGGCGAAAGACUAAUCGAAC
rnacentral:rRNA from 1 species